CCUACGGGGGGCAGCAGUGGGGAAUAUUGCACAAUGGGGGAAACCCUGAUGCAGCCAAGUAGCGUGAAGGAUGACUGCCCUACGGGUUGUAAACUUCUUUUAUAAAGGAGUAAAGUGAGGCACGUGUGCCUUUUUGUAUGUACUUUAUGAAUAAGGAUCGGCUAACUCCGUGCCAGCAGCCGCGGUAAUACGGAGGAUCCGAGCGUUAUCCGGAUUUAGUGGGUUUAAAGGGAGCGUAGAUGGGUUGUUAAGUCAGUUGUGAAAUUUUGCGGCUCAACCGUAAAAUUGCAAUUGAUACUGGCAGUCUUGAGUACAGUUGAGGUAGGCGGAAUUCGUGGUGUAGCGGUGAAAUGCUUAGAGAUCACGAAGAACUCCGAUUGCGAAGGCAGCUUACUAAACUGCCACUGACAUUGAUGCUCGAAAGUGUGGGUAUCAAACAGGAUUAGAUACCCUUGUAGUC
rnacentral:rRNA from 1 species